AAGGGCACCACAAGAACGCGUGGAGCAUGUGGCUUAAUUUGACUCAACGCGGGAAAUCUUACCGGGUCCGGACACACUGAGGAUUGACAGGCAAUCUUGCGAGUUGCUGAGAGUCGCGCCCUUCGGGGUGCUUCUCCGAGCUCUCGCAUCUAAAUAUGCUAGUCCUUUCAUGAUUAUGUGAUAGGUGGUGCAUGGCCGUUCUUAGUUCGUGGAGUGAUCUGUCUGCUUAAUUGCGUUUCGCACUGGACUUGAUAAUCAAGUGUGCUAUUUUUCUUGUGCCUCGUACACGACUUGCGCGUUAUAAAGUCGGCGUGUGUACCCCGGCCGCUCGUGGCUUGGCUGCCGCUUGCUCGCGUUGCUUCGCUCUCUUCACGGAUUGCUGUUGCUUCGUAGCUUGCGUGCGCCUCGCAACGUUGGCUUGGUGUGUAUCGCGCCUUCGAGUGUUUUGUCAGUACUUGGUGCGUUUUGGAAGGAUAUGUGCACAUUAGGUCCUGAAAGCAACGAACGUGACCGCAUCCUCUUGUUGCCUUUUAUCUAAACCAGCAUUUUAUCGCUUUUGGUGUCCGCUUGUGAGCGUCUUCCGGUUCCGCAAGGUUCUGGUCCUCGCGCGCUCGCGGCUCCAUGUUAUAAGUGGUUUUUUGCGCGUUUUAACAAAAGAGGCUCUAUUCUUCUUACCAGGGAGAAAUAAAACUAGAGGGACCGCUGCGACUUUUUCAAACCAGAGGAAGGUUGCGGCAAUAACAGGUCUGUGAUGCCCUUAGAUGUUCCGGGCUGCACACGUGCUACAAUGAUUAUUGCAGUGAGCAUCUCAUUUCCAAAACGCCGUUAAUCCAUUCGGUCUUGUGCUUUACGGCGCUCGACUGAGUAGAUUCGGCUCAGCCUGCUUCGAAAGUUAGCAGGUAAUCAAUUGGAAGUAAUGAUUUCCCCCAAUUUGAAAAUUUAUUUUCAUCUUACGAGCACACAAUAUACUGCUCCCUUCCAGGUGCGACUCCGAUAUACUGUGUGUCACGCCGUUGUAGGGAUGUUUUUUUUAUAAAAAUUUACAGUAUGUGCUUUUUGUCAAUUCAUGGUGGGGACAGACCAUUGUUAAUUGUUGGUCUCGGUCUUAACUAGGAAUGCCUUGUACGGGUCUUUGGUUCAACAAACCACCCGGAAUACGUCCCUGCCCUUUGUACACACCGCCCGUCGCUCUUACCGAUGGACUUCUCUGUGAGUUUGAGGGACUGGGUACCAUGGCCGUCACCUUCGGGUGCGCGACCAUAAACAUCUAUGGAAACUUAAACGAACAGUGUGGUCUAAAGGAAAGAGAAGUCG
rnacentral:rRNA from 1 species